AUGGCGACCACGCCGCCGGUGGGCAGGGACGGAGAUGGCGGCCGGAAGAAGAGGAAGCAGGGCGGCUUCAAGACCAUGCCCUUCAUACUAGUGAACGAGGUGUGCGACAGGUUCGCCACGGCCGGCUUCGGCGCCAACCUCAUCACGUACCUGACGCAGCAGCUGCACCUGCCGCUGGUGGAGGCGUCCAACACGCUCACCAACUUCGGCGGCACCUCCAGCCUCACGCCCAUCCUCGGCGCGCUCGCCGCCGACUCCUUCGCCGGCCGCUUCUGGACCAUCGUCGCCGGCUCCGUCUUCUACCAGCUCGGCAUGCUCGGCCUCGUCGUCUCCGCGCUGCUCCCGUCCCUCCGCCCGGGGCCCUGCUCCCCUCCCGCGGCCCCGUGCCGCCGCGCCAACGGGCUGCAGCUCGCCGUGCUCUACGUCUCGCUGCUCUUCACGUCCCUCGGCUCCGGCGGCAUCCGGCCGUGCGUCGUGGCAUUCGGCGCCGACCAGUUCGACCAGCAGGAGGAGCAGGAGGAGGAGGAGCACCGUGGCGGUGGUGGGGGCACGGAGGCGGUGGCUGGGAAGAAGCGGCAGUACUUCAACCUCUACUUCUUCACCAUGGGGUUCGCCGUGCUGCUGGCGCUGACGGUGGUGGUGUACAUCCAGGAGAACGUGGGGUGGGGUUGGGGGUUCGGGAUCCCGGCCAUCGGCAUGCUCGUCUCCAUCGUCGUGUUCGUGGUCGGCUACCCGCUCUACGUCCGGCUCAAGCCGGGGGGCAGCCCGUUCACGCGGCUGGCGCAGGUCGUCGCCGCGGCGUACAAGAAACGGCGCGCCCCGCUGCCGGAGGACCCCCGCAUGCUGUACCAGGACAAGGAGCUGGACGCGCUCAUCUCCACCAACGGCAGGCUCCUGCACACCAACCAGCUCACGUUCUUCGACCGGGCGGCGAUCGUGACGCCGGGGGACAUGGCCGGCUCCGGCAAGCUGGACCUGUGGCGGCUGUCGACGGUGCACCGCGUGGAGGAGCUCAAGUCCAUCGUCCGCAUGCUGCCCAUCUGGUCGGCCGGCAUCCUGCUCGUCACCGCCGGCUCGCACAACAACAGCUUCACCAUCCAGCAGGCGCGCACCAUGGACCGCCACGUCACCCAGCACUUCCAGAUCCCGCCGGCCACCAUGUCCAUCUUCACCACCACCGCCAUGCUCGUCACCCUGGGCCUCUACGACCGCGCCUUCGUGCCCCUGGCGCGCCGCUUCACGGGCCUGCCGUCCGGGAUCACCUACUUCCAGCGCAUGGCCGUCGGGCUGGCCAUCUCCAUCCUCAGCGUCGCCACGGCGGCGCUCGUCGAGGCCAAGCGCCGGGGCGCCGCGGCCGAACACGGGCUGCUGGACACCCCGGGCGCCGUCGUGCCGAUGAGCGUGUUCUGGCUGGUGCCGCAGUACGCCAUCCACGGCGUGGCGGAGGGGUUCUCGUCGGUGGGGCACAUGGAGUUCCUGUACGACCAGGCGCCGGAGAGCAUGCGCAGCACCGCCGCCGCGCUCUUCUGGCUCUCGGCCUCCCUCGGCAGCUACAUGGGCACGGUGCUGGUGACGGCGGUGCAGAGCGCCACGCGGGGCGGCGGCGAGUGGCUCCAGGACAACAUCAACCGGGGCAGGCUGGACGCCUACUACUGGCUCGUCACCUGCCUCAUGGUGCUCAACCUUGGCUACUACCUCGUCUGCUUCCACUUCUACACCAUGAAGCCACUGGAGGUGGCGGAAGACGACGGCGACCACGAGAAGGAGUGCGAGCUGUCCUCCGUCCACAAAAAUGGCGACGGCGGCGCCGCCGGCGGGCUGGUAUAA
rnacentral:rRNA from 1 species